rnacentral:rRNA from 1 species
UACGUAGGGUGCAGGCGUUAAUCGGAAUUACUGGGCGUAAAGCGUGCGCAGGCGGUUUGCUAAGACAGGUGUGAAAUCCCCGGGCUUAACCUGGGAACUGCGCUUGUAACUGGCAAGCUAGAGUGUGGCAGAGGGGGGUGGAAUUCCACGUGUAGCAGUGAAAUGCGUAGAGAUGUGGAGGAACACCGAUAGCGAAGGCAGCCCCCUGGGCUAACACUGACGCUCAUGCACGAAAGCGUGGGGAGCAAACAGG